AGGUAGUAACCCUGAAAUCCUAUGCUUCCCGGCCCGCCAUGGGCGGCCGCGGGAAUUCGAUUAGAGUUUGAUCCUGGCUCAGGACGAACGCUGGCGGCGUGCUUAACACAUGCAAGUCGAGCGCACUCUUCGGAGUGAGCGGCAGACGGGUGAGUAACACGUGGGAAUCUACCCAUCUCUACGGAACAACUCCGGGAAACUGGAGCUAAUACCGUAUACGCCCUUUGGGGGAAAGAUUUAUCGGAGAUGGAUGAGCCCGCGUUGGAUUAGCUAGUUGGUGGGGUAAAGGCCUACCAAGGCGACGAUCCAUAGCUGGUCUGAGAGGAUGAUCAGCCACACUGGGACUGAGACACGGCCCAGACUCCUACGGGAGGCAGCAGUGGGGAAUAUUGGACAAUGGGCGCAAGCCUGAUCCAGCCAUGCCGCGUGAGUGAUGAAGGCCCUAGGGUUGUAAAGUUCUUUCACCGGUGAAGAUAAUGACGGUAACCGGAGAAGAAGCCCCGGCUAACUUCGUGCCAGCAGCCGCGGUAAUACGAAGGGGGCUAGCGUUGUUCGGAAUUACUGGGCGUAAAGCGCACGUAGGCGGAUUGUUAAGUGAGGGGUGAAAUCCCAGGGCUCAACCCUGGAUCUGCUUCUCAUACUGGCAAUCUCGAGUUCGAGAGAGGUGAGUGGAAUUGCGAGUGUAGAGGUGAAAUUCGUAUAUUUCGCAGGAACACCCUGGCGAAGGUUGUCACUGGGUCGAUACUGACGCUGAGGUGGGAAAGCGUGGGGAGCAUACAGGAUUAGAUCCCCCCGAAUUCA
rnacentral:rRNA from 1 species